UGGGGAAUAUUGCACAAUGGGCGCAAGCCUGAUGCAGCCAUGCCGCGUGUAUGAAGAAGGCCUUCGGGUUGUAAAGUACUUUCAGCGAGGAGGAAGGCGUUGUGGUUAAUAACCGCAACGAUUGACGUUACUCGCAGAAGAAGCACCGGCUAACUCCGUGCCAGCAGCCGCGGUAAUACGGAGGGUGCAAGCGUUAAUCGCAAUUACUGGGCGUAAAGCGCACGCAGGCGGUCUGUCAAGUCGGAUGUGAAAUCCCCGGGCUCAACCUGGGAACUGCAUCCGAAACUGGCAGGCUAGAGUCUUGUAGAGGGGGGUAGAAUUCCAGGUGUAGCGGUGAAAUGCGUAGAGAUCUGGAGGAAUACCGGUGGCGAAGGCGGCCCCCUGGACAAAGACUGACGCUCAGGUGCGAAAGCGUGGGGAGCAAACA
rnacentral:rRNA from 1 species